CCUGCACCCUCUGCAUUCUCACUCUGCCAGCACCCUUCCCCCUUGCAGACCCACCUUUUGUCUCUCUCUCCCUCCUCUUCCUCUCUUCUCAAUCGGGACUUGGAAGAGCUUCAAGAGCUCGCGACUUCUUCUAACACCAACCCACGAAUCUUUCCGUACAAUGUGAAGCAGUAAUGCUGGGAAAAGGCCGAGAAGAUCAGAGGUCGAGACCCAGACCAGUGGCGUCGAGACUCUCUUGGAAACACCGUGUUCCGGAAGUUCGUCGGUUGCCCAGGUUGCCUCUGUCAUGAUUAUGAUCACAUCGUGCCUUACUCUAAGCAUUCUGUAUAAAAAGAGAUGCAUUUUUGCAAGGGGGGAAGGGCGCUGGCAGAGUGAGAAUGUAGAGGGUGCAAGUAUUUUUGUUUUUGUUUUUAUGGAUUUAA